GGGCCUCCUCGUCUCCGCGGAGCCCCGUCAAAGCGCUCCCGCCCGGGCUCCCCGCGGAAGCGACGCCCGGACGCCAGGGCCUCGCGGGCCAGGGCGGCAAAAACCGCCCUCCGCCGGCGGAGCGCCCGACGCGGCGCGCGUUGGACCGGCCGCUCCCGCCCAGGAGGGACGAGGCCUGGCCUGGACAGCCCCGCGGGGCACGGGGCUCAGGGGGACCGCUUUGGAGGGGAUGGCCGCGCCCUCUCUACCGCUUGCCUCAGGUGCAUCGCUGUGCAACAGGCAGGCACUUCCCGCCACAUUCGCCUACUCCACGCUGAGGCGGCAUUGCCCCGCCUGACCCGGAAGUCUGCGGCCUCCCCAUUGGCUCAGGAAGAGCAGGAGUUGGGGGGCAAGCGAGUGGGCGAGCAGGGCGAGCUGGGAGGCGUGGCAAACAGGAUCAACCAGCAGGAGGUGGAGACUGUACUGGUCAACUGCCAGCCAAGGAAAAUCAG
rnacentral:lncRNA from 1 species